rnacentral:rRNA from 1 species
GACGAACGCUGGCGGCGUGCUUAACACAUGCAAGUCGAACGAUGAAGCCGGAGCUUGCUCUGGUGAAUUAGUGGCGAACGGGUGAGUAACACGUGAGUAACCUGCCCUUGACUCUGGGAUAACUGCUAGAAAUGGUAGCUAAUACCGGAUACGACCCUCGGAGGCAUCUCCAGGGGGUGGAAAGAAUUUCGGUCAAGGAUGGACUCGCGGCCUAUCAGCUAGUUGGUGAGGUAAUGGCUCACCAAGGCGACGACGGGUAGCCGGCCUGAGAGGGAGACCGGCCACACUGGGACUGAGACACGGCCCAGACUCCUACGGGAGGCAGCAGUGGGGAAUAUUGCACAAUGGGCGCAAGCCUGAUGCAGCAACGCCGCGUGAGGGAUGACGGACUUCGGGUUGUAAACCUCUUUUAGUAGGGAAGAAGCGAAAGUGACGGUACCUGCAGAAAAAGCACCGGCUAACUACGUGCCAGCCGCCGCGGUAA